AAAAGUUUUAAGUAAAUUUAUGAUUUUGCAUUGGGUCUCAUUCAUAGCCAUCCUGGGCCACAUGCAGCCCAGGAGCCGCAGGUGGGACACCCCUGUUACAAUAAUACUUCAUACAUGGUAAGUGUUAUGUAAUUACUUAUUCAAUGAAAAUAAAGAAGGAAAGUAGCCAUUUAAGAAGAAAGACUUUUUAUUUCUUUAGAAGUUGAUAGGGAGCAAUUAAAGAGUGGCUUCAUAGGGCAAACACAGAGUGAAAUUGUCCUUAUUGAACCAGGUUUCAGGAGUACAGAGUUGCACCUUAAAUUAAGCCAUUGUUUCAGAGUUUAGGUUUAGGUUCUUUUGCAAUACCCAAUGGACCUAACACAUACUUAAAAACAUUUUACUAGUGAAAGCAUUGUAUGUUUGCCAAAAGUAAUACAUGAUCUGUAAAAACAUAUAAUAUAUGUAAAAACAUAUAACAUAUAAUAUACUAUAUGGUACUGACAAUUACUGACACUCCUCAUUUCUAAUUCUCUUCAUAAGACUCAAGUUACCCACUGAAAUCAUUCAGAGUUCUUUAGCCUAUCAGCAAAUGCUUUCUGUAAUUUAAAAGUGGGAAUUAAAAUAGAGUUUUGGCCUGAUAUGAGGUGGGAGUGGGAUCACAAUAGGCUGUUUUCCUGCAUUCUCACUACAAUACACUCAGCAUGAGAGCCAUAUGGAGUGUGAAUAUACAUGAGAACCUCAACUCUUGACCUCACCUCUGACCAGGAGUCUGCUCCCUGGGGACACCACAUUGAGGGGCUGAAUCUCUCCCCUGACAUGGAGAUGUCAUAUGUUGCCUGUCCCCCACUCAGGUAAUGGGAAAUUACAGUAAUUACUCUUGUUGGGGGACUUAGAACAUGACAAGUUUUCAAUGAGCACUCAAUAAUUUUCCUUAUAAAAAUACUUUAAUGGAACUUUGAUGGUGGCAUAUAACAGCUAAUGAAGUCACAAAUGACCUUAAUAGGCUGAUAUUUUUUCAGACUUUGAAAAAUAGUUACAUCAUACCAUCAGUUCACUUUAAUUAGAACUCAGGAAAGAAUCCUUUACUGGAUAUGUCAGCAUGACAAAUGGUGGUCACAUGCAGGGGUUUCAGGUAUUAGAUAAAUAUAGAGAAGGUACAAUUCCAUUAUCUCAAAUAAAUGACCAAUGUCAUGUGUGAUAUAUUUUGUUACCAUGGCAGUAGGGUACCUGGCAUCAUUUAGCACAGUACCUUGUGUAAGGUAUAUAUUAUUAACUACAUGUUGGAAACCAAAUAUCAAGGAGAGAAAAAAACUGCAGAGUAAAUUAUUAGUAUUCUUAAUAUGUAAUCUUAGAAAUAUACAAUAAAAAUGGUUAGUCUGAUAGAAGUAAGGAGAAAACACAAAAUUAAGCAAUUAAAAAGAAUUUAAAUGGCCAGCAUAAUGUUAAAAUAGUUCAGUAUCAUUAGGAUUAAAGAGAUGUAAUUUAAAGAAAAACUAGAUAUCAAUUUUUUACCUAUAACAUUGGCAAAAAUGUGAACAGUGAAUCCCCCUCUCCACUCUCCAACCUUGUAGCUUUUAGUCUUGUCCCUGGAUUACAACUUGGCACCCUUCCAACCUUUGUUCAACAAGUUCUCAAAUGUGCUAAUAGACAAUUUUGCCUCUAGGUCUUCUUCCUGCUGUUUCCUUUGCCUGGAAGGUCUUUCCCCUACUCUUUGCUCUGCUUAAACGCCUCUUCUCCCAAUUUAAAAUAUUUCUUCAUUUUCUUUUACUUACUAAAACUCGUUGUAAUUUUUAAUUACAUCAGUAUCUUGUUGCUUAUUUUCUGCUCUAAACAUGGGCAGGGACCAUGGAUGGUGUGUUCAUGUAAGUCUACACAGAACCUAAUACAAUACUUAGCAUUUUAUACCUGUUCUAUUUAUGUUUUCCAAAUGGGUGAAUGACUUAAUGAAGUGGAGUUAUUAAGAUUCUUUAAAAAAUGUUAUGCUUAUGGCAUGUUGAAUCAUAUGAAAAUAUUUUUAUCGGCAACAUGGCCAACUAUCACCAAUUUCAUAAGGAAAUUUAUAAUCAUAAUUUCAGAGGACAUUUUUAAGUAUUAAAAGACAUAGACAUGUCUAUACUCUUGCAACUUCUUUAUCUAAGGAUAUAUAUAUGUAAUAUAUGUAAUAUAUGUAAAAGGAUAUGCAAAGAGGUAGCUAUACUCACAACCUUAUUUAUAAUUUAGUGAUAAUUUAAAAAUAUGGAAACAGCCUAAAUGCCAAAUUCAGAAAACUAGCUCAUGAACAUGUGCAUCCAUGCACCAGAAAUGCUUUGUGACCAUUCAGAAUUAUGCUGUUUAAGAAUAUGUGUUGAUAAGGUACAUUUUACCACAUGAAGUUAAAAGUCUAUUACAAAGUAGUGUAUAUGAUUUCUCUCUCUCUCUCUCUCUCUCUGUUGCACACACACAUACACACACAGAACAAAAAGAAGUCCAGAGAAAUAUAUCCCAUUAUAUUAUUAUCAGUGGUUAAUUUCUGGAUGGUGGGAUUACUGAUUUAAUUGAAUAUACAUGCAUCACUAGAGAAAUCAGGAAAAUUCCUUGAAAAUAUUAAGUGCUAGAGCCUAUUAAAAUGAUAGAUAUAUAUGUUUAAGUAGAUGACAGAUAAAUAGGGAAGAGAGAAAGUAGAAUUAGAAUUUAAUUCAGAUUUACACUUCAGACACUACCAAAUUACAAGCAACUUGUAUUUAAUAUAGUUACAUAACAGGGUUCCUAAUUUAUAAUUAUAGUCUAGGCUAGUAAAUCUGAAAUUCUACAACUUAAAAUAGCUAUUCUUUAUUUAUUUUAAACUAAAAGGGCUGAGGACAAUUAAGUAAAACAUCCUCGAUAUUGCACUACAGUGCUUUUAGGCAAAUGACAGAUUACAUAUAAGAACAUCCAAUCCUUCUUUCUCUGAACUUAUGGCAAUCUUUAUAUUUGAUCUUUAUAAGAGAAUUAUAAAAAUCUUAUCUUUAAUAGCUCCCUGGAUAUUUGUUUUUGAAAAAUAGUUUAGAGUUGUAAUUUUAUUGUCUUCAAGGUGUAGAGACAACCUCAAAAAGCAACAGUGAUCAGACAAUGUAGGUGCCAUCCAUGGCAACAAAAUGGAGACUCAAUAAAUAUUAGUAUUCUCCCUCAUCCCAGCUAAGAAACUAUUGGAACUUUUGCAAAGUCAGGAUCUCUUUGGGUCAAGCAUAUACACUCUAACAUUCCAUCUACUUACCAAAUUGUGUUAAACUCCCUUAAACACUAUAGGAGGUUUUUGAAAAUUACUGGCAAGAAUAACAACAUUUGUUCUAAGGGCUGGCAGUGAAAGGGGGCUAAGAGAGUGGUAGGGACAUUCUCCCACAGUCUUGGCAAUGAUAUUCUCCUUCUCAGGCCCUCAACGUUGAGAGGCAAGUGUGUGAUUAUAGUUCCUUACCUAUACCUUAUUUGAAAUGGCUCCAAAAUGUGAAACCUCUGAAAUGCAAAAUUAUUAUUUUUUCUUUAGAAAUAUAUUUUUAUUAUUGAAGACAAUUUUAAACCAGUGGUUUACAGUGAA